AGUGAACGCUGGCGGUAGGCCUAACACAUGCAAGUCGAACGGCAGCACAGUAAGAGCUUGCUCUUACGGGUGGCGAGUGGCGGACGGGUGAGGAAUACAUCGGAAUCUACUUUUUCGUGGGGGAUAACGUAGGGAAACUUACGCUAAUACCGCAUACGACCUACGGGUGAAAGCAGGGGAUCUUCGGACCUUGCGCGAUUGAAUGAGCCGAUGUCGGAUUAGCUAGUUGGCGGGGUAAAGGCCCACCAAGGCGACGAUCCGUAGCCGGCCUGAGAGGAUGAUCAGCCACACUGGAACUGAGACACGGUCCAGACUCCUACGGGAGGCAGCAGUGGGGAAUAUUGGACAAUGGGCGCAAGCCUGAUCCAGCCAUACCGCGUGGGUGAAGAAGGCCUUCGGGUUGUAAAGCCCUUUUGUUGGGAAAGAAAAGCAGCAGGUUAAUACCCAGCUGUUCUGACGGUACCCAAAGAAUAAGCACCGGCUAACUUCGUG
rnacentral:rRNA from 1 species